GUAAGAAUGAAUCAUCCUCAAAUGACAAAAAGAAAAUAUUUGUAUAAGUAUAUUGUAGAAAAAAUAUGCCAUUUUUUCCACACUACACAAAUGCACAGAAUGACUGAAUCCAAAGAAACAGGAAAACAGUGUUUUCUCCCGCUGGGGUCAGAAGCAGUAGGAACCUGCCUCCGUCUGCUCUGCUACAACUGUACCGUUGUCCAGUCAGCCAGCUGGUCCCGACUGUCAGCAGGACCUCGACUGGAGCAGCUGAUGGCAGCCAGAUGGCAUGAGGAAGAGCUCAGAGGGAGGAACAUGAACUGUGGCUCAGAUGUGUACAGAAAAUCUCAGAACCUUCUCUUCUUCUUCUGCUGAGGAAGGUGAAGCCUCCGGUGAAGUGGACUGGCAGAGAGCGGCGUGUUCAUCUCCAACCAUCUGGUGGAGGCUCGAAACAUAUAUAAAAAACCUCUCCCCUACUACGUGCUUCUAACUCCCUGGAAGUGUUUCAGAGCGUGUUUCUCAAUACUUAACUGUU